UAAAAUGAUCAAAACAUAAAAAACUACAUGACAUACCGAUAGAACAAUUUUCGUGUAUGUUACAUUCGAAGGAAGAAAAUCAUGACUAAAAUUAUCAAACUUUUUUCUAUUAUGAUCAUAUUUCUUUUCCCAAUUCAUGUUGUGUUCGAAUCUAUUAAUCCGUACCAACACUGUAAAGUUGACGUGGAUUGUCCAGGGCAAAAAUGUUCUCCUAGUAAUGUUCCUGUGUGCAUUUUUGGAUUCUGCUACUGCGUUGCUCCCUCCAUCUUAAAAUGAUACUCUGGUACAAAUGCAGAUUAUUUUCCUCGUGGCCAUUAAAAUUAAUCGACGGAGCUUUGCAUGUGAAUGAAGUAUUGACAUGUGGUUAUAUGUAUUUUAAUAGUCUUGUUUUUUAAACAAAGUUCAAUAAUUUUUCAGAAUAUUAUAUAUAUAUAUAU